GUGGGGAAUCUUAGACAAUGGGGGAAACCCUGAUCUAGCCAUGCCGCGUGAGCGAUGAAGGCCUUAGGGUUGUAAAGCUCUUUCAGCUGGGAAGAUAAUGACGGUACCAGCAGAAGAAGCCCCGGCUAACUCCGUGCCAGCAGCCGCGGUAAUACGGAGGGGGCUAGCGUUGUUCGGAAUUACUGGGCGUAAAGCGCGCGUAGGCGGACCAGAAAGUUGGAGGUGAAAUCCCAGGGCUCAACCUUGGAACUGCCUUCAAAACUCCUGGUCUGGAGUUCGAGAGAGGUGAGUGGAAUUCCGAGUGUAGAGGUGAAAUUCGUGGAUAUUCGGAGGAACACCAGUGGCGAAGGCGGCUCACUGGCUCGAUACUGACGCUGAGGUGCGAAAGCGUGGGGAGCAAACAGGAUUAGAUACCCUUGUAGUCC
rnacentral:rRNA from 1 species